GACCAGAUCACGUUCACUGCUUCAUCAUGGACUUCGAUCUGGACUCAGCUGUUGGAGAUGAUGAGGUGAAGAAGCAGGAGGGCAACGAGGUGGAGGGGCUCUUUGGGUUUGGAAAGAAAGAUAAAGACAAAGAAGAAAAAGAUAAAGAGUGUAAGGACAAGGACAAAGAUAGUGACAAGCCAAAGAGUGAUUGCAAAGAGGAUAAAGACAAGGAUAAGUGCACAGACAAAGAGAAGGACAAGUGCAAAGAGAAAGAGAAGGACAAGUGCAAAGACAAAGAGAAGGACAAGUGCAAAGACAAGGAAAAGAAGAAGGAUAAAGAGCACAAAAAGGGGCACGGACACGGUCAUGGUCACGGUCAUGGACACGGUCAUGGACAUGGACACGGUCGGGGACGUGGACAUGGACACAGGUCAUCCUCUUCAUCCAGUGAUGAGGACUAAAGCUGAAGACUGAAGUCAUGAGGGGGCCGGGGCAAGUUGUCACAUAGGGAAAAUGAUUUAUGGGAUUUAUGUUUAUAGUAACUGUGAGGUUUUGAGUCAAAAAAUUCAAUUGCAGAAAUGCUUGUUUUCUCUAGCAGUGGUUUUAUAAGUUGGUUUUAAACACCUAGUUGCACCAUUUGUAUUAUAUUAGGAUAAUAUUUUUGGAAUUGUGUCUUACAAACU
ensembl:lncRNA